GAUGAACGCUGGCGGCGUGCCUAAUACAUGCAAGUCGAGCGAAAAGACGAGGAGCUUGCUCCGCUGACGUUUGCGGCGGACGGGUGAGUAACACGUGGAUAACCUACCUAUAAGACUGGGAUAACUUCGGGACACCGGCGCUAAUACCGGAUAAUAUAUUGAACCGCAUGGUGCAAUAGUGAAAGACGGUUUUGCGGUCACUUAUAGAUGGAUCCGCGCCGCAUUAGAGAGUUGGUAAGGUAACGGCUUACCAAGGCAACGAUGCGUAGCCGACCGGAGAGGGGGGUAGCCGACAUGGGAAGGGAGCCAGCGACCUGACUACUACGGGACGGACCAGUAGGGAACCGUACGCAACGGGGGGAAGCUUUGCGGAGCAGCCGCGCGCGUGAUACGACGGCGCUGGGUUCGUAAAACCCUGUUAUGAGUGAUGAACAAAUGUGUAAGGAACUAAGCACGGCUUGACGGUACCGAAUCAGAAAGCAACGGCUAACUACGUG
rnacentral:rRNA from 1 species